CCCUUUUCCUAGAGAACGUUUUCUGAGCGCCUCCUGCGAAGCACCCACCGGCGCCGGGAGGCUGGCCUGGCCGCAGGCCCUGCCCUGAUGGUGGGAGUCAGACUGACCUGCCUGGUACUUAGCAGACGAACCUGUGGCAGCGAGGGCCCUGCCCUGAGAGCAGGCAGCCACCAGGAGGAGGGGAAGCUUGGUGGAGACCUGGAGAUCAGCCUAGUGGAGUGGAGGGGAAAGUUUUCUGAGAAGAGGAAACUACAUGUGCAAAGGCCCAGAGGUCGAAGGAGAGCUUGGCCAAUGAGGAACUUCCCAACUGCUCAUCAAAUCCAAGCUCCAUACCCAGCGCUUUAGCCUUUUCUGGCAACAGCCCUGCUGUUACUGGCCAAUCAACAUAAUGUGUCUUCCAGGCCAAGACCCUGGCAACCACCUGUCUGCUCUGUUCCAUGGAUUGACCUAUUCUGGAUAUUUCAUAUGAAUUUCCAGGUCUGAACUCUGGUUGGAGGCUUUUGGGGACCAUGAAUUCCUCUGCUCCACCAGCCACGAACACUACGGAAGAUCGUGCUGUGUGCCCAGAGAGGACAUCUUGACUGGAGGCGCGGAGGUUUGGGAGGAUGUCUCCGAAGUGGGGAGCAGCCUCUCAGGAUGAGGAAGGCCGGGGUGAUCCCCGAGCCCCAUCUGGGGGCGGAGGGGGGAGAGAUGGGGAAUGAAGGCCACCCGAGGGAACCCAGGGCACCCUGUGCUCCGGGACUCUUACUCAACGCGCUGGCCCGACACCUCCAAGCACAUCCUG